rnacentral:lncRNA from 1 species
CAACUGGCGAACGGCAAAGACAGUGGGCUUUGUCCAAAUAUACCCGAUGUAGUGAUCAGUGUUACCUUGUUUGGUGGAUAUUUAUUUCUGUUGAGCUAAGAACAACAAUGAAUAAUGGUGUGCACUUUGUAGCUUAAUGUAGAUAGUAAGAUGGAUAUGUUAUUCAUAUAAAACUUGGUGAGAACUACAAUGAAUGAUAAGUAUACUUUUUGAGUAUCAAGCUAUGUGUCUAUUUUACUUCAGCUGUGCUGUGAAUGCGGGUGUUUGGAAAAAAUGAACGUUUUACUUUGGUAGUGCUGUUAAAGCGUACGCUGUAUCGAAAAAGUGACCCUAUUUGGUCGUGCUGCGAAAGCGUUUGCUGUAAAGAGAUAUUUGCUUUGGCUGUGCUGAGAAAGCAUGGGCUGUUAAUUUUAGUCGUGCAUUAUUGCAUUGACUGUCUUUUGAAUGCUUUGUCUAUAUUACAUUAAUAUUAGGCUGUGCUGCGUUUACUUUGGUUAACAUUCUGAAAACUUUGGAUAUUUCUAAAAGAAUCUUUUGAAUUUAGUAUACUACAAUUACCUUCUUUGUUUAGCUCGAUUGGAAUGCUGUCAAAUACUAAGCCCUGUAUCCUAUAUUUGUUUGUUGUUUUGUAGUUAGGAACAUGAAAUUAGUGAAUAAUUGCUUUACUCAC